rnacentral:rRNA from 1 species
AACGAACGCUGGCGGCAGGCCUAACACAUGCAAGUCGAGCGAGGACUUCGGUCCUAGCGGCGGACGGGUGAGUAACGCGUGGGAACGUGCCCCUUGGUACGGAAUAGCCCCGGGAAACUGGGAGUAAUACCGUAUGAGCUCUACGGAGGAAAGAUUUAUCGCCAAGGGAUCGGCCCGCGUUGGAUUAGGUAGUUGGUGGGGUAAUGGCCUACCAAGCCGACGAUCCAUAGCUGGUUUGAGAGGAUGAUCAGCCACACUGGGACUGAGACACGGCCCAGACUCCUACGGGAGGCAGCAGUGGGGAAUCUUAGACAAUGGGCGCAAGCCUGAUCUAGCCAUGCCGCGUGAGCGAUGAAGGCCUUAGGGUUGUAAAGCUCUUUCAGCUGGGAAGAUAAUGACUGUACCAGCAGAAGAAGCCCCGGCUAACUCCGUGCCAGCAGCCGCAGUAAUAC